rnacentral:rRNA from 1 species
UGGGGAAUAUUGGGCAAUGGGCGCAAGCCUGACCCAGCCACGCCGCGUGAGUGAUGAAGGCCUUCGGGUCGUAAAGCUCUGUGGGGAGGGACGAAAAAACGUCGGCUAAUAUCCAACGGACUGACGGUACUUCCUUAGCAAGCACCGGCUAACUCCGUGCCAGCAGCCGCGGUAAUACGGAGGGUGCAAACGUUGCUCGGAAUCAUUGGGCGUAAAGCGCACGUAGGCGGUCCAGCAAGUCGGGUGUGAAAGCCCUCGGCUCAACCGAGGAAGUGCAUUCGAAACUAGUGGACUUGAAUACUGGAGAGGGUCGCGGAAUUCCCGGUGUAGAGGUGAAAUUCGUAGAUAUCGGGAGGAACACCAGUGGCGAAGGCGGCGACCUGGACAGAUAUUGACGCUGAGGUGCGAAAGCGUGGGGAGCAAACAG